UAUCGGAUUGAUACUGAGCCAUGCGAGUCAUUGUAGCAAUACAAGGCAGACGGCUCAGUAACGCGUAGUCUACCUACCCUAUGGACGGGGAUAACCUCGGGAAACUGAGAAUAAUACCCGAUAGAACAUUAUACCUGGAAUGGUUUAUGUCUCAAAUAAUUUAUUGCCGUAGGAUGGGACUGCGGCCUAUCAGUUUGUUGGUGAGGUAAUGGCCCACCAAGACUAUUACAGGUACGGGCUCUGAGAGGAGUAGCCCGGAGAUGGGUACUGAGACACGGACCCAGGCCCUAUGGGGCGCAGCAGGCGAGAAAACUUCGCAAUGUGCGAAAGCACGACAAGGUUAAUCCGAGUGGUUUCUGCUAAAGGAACCUUUUGUCAGUCCUAGAAACACUGAUGAAUAAGGGGUGGGCAAGUUCUGGUGUCAGCCGCCGCGGUAAAACCAGCACCUCAAGUGGUCAGGAUGAUUAUUGGGCCUAAAGCAUCCGUAGCCUGCUUUGUUAGUUUUCGGUUAAAUCCAUACGCUUAACGUAUGGGCUGCCGGAAAUACUGCAAAGCUAGGGAGUGGGAGAGGUAGACGGUACUCGGUAGGAAGGGGUAAAAUCCUUUGAUCUAUUGAUGACCACCUGUGGCGAAGGCGGUCUACCAGAACACGUCCGACGGUGAGGGAUGGAAGCUGGGGGAGCAAACCGGAUUAGAUACCCGGGUAGUCCCAGCUGUAAACUAUGCAAACUCGGUGAUGCAUUGGCUUGAUGCCAAUGCAGUGCCGCAGGGAAGCCGUUAAGUUCGCCGCCUGGGAAGUACGUACGCAAGUAUGAAACUUAAAGGAAUUGGCGGGGGAGCACCACAAGGGGUGAAGCCUGCGGUUCAAUUGGAGUCAACGCCAGAAAUCUUACCCGGAGAGACAGCAGAAUGAAGGUCAAGCUGAAGACUUUACCAGACAAGCUGAGAAGUGGUGCAUGGCCGUCGCCAGCUCGUGCCGUGAGAUGUCCUGUUAAGUCAGGUAACGAGCGAGAUCCUUGCCUCUAGUUGCCACCAUUACUCUCAGGAGUAGUGGGGCGAAUUAGCGGGACUGCCGUAGUUAAUACGGAGGAAGGAGAGGGCCACG
rnacentral:rRNA from 1 species